AAAGUAAAGGCAUAAGAGUAAAUGCAUGAAGUAAAGGCAUAAAAGUAAAUGACAUAAGGUAAUUUGCAAGAAUGUAAAGUAUUAGAGGUUUAUCAGUUAAAUGUUAGGUGUUAGCAUGUUAGAAGUCAAAGUCAACACAAUGGGAUCAUCUAUCAAUAAGUCAAAGGAAUCAAACAUAUGCCACACUAAAGGAUGGUCUAUUAUUA
rnacentral:lncRNA from 1 species